rnacentral:lncRNA from 1 species
AUGUCUCUGCUGGACUUCUCCUACUCCUCUAUUCUGUGUGUGUCUGAGGAGGACCUUCCAGAGGUCAGCACUAUGGCCCGUCACCUGGGCAUGUGGCCUGCCGUGGAGGCCUGUUCUGCCCUCCAGACGGAGCAGGAAUACCACGCCGCCCAAUACCCCACCAUGGAGCACCCUGCCCUGGGCUUCUCAUCGCAGAUCCCUGGAUCUCCCCUGGAGCUCCACCACCACCAGAGGAACAGGAGGAAGAAUAGGGGGUUGGCUGGAGAGGGCAGGGAGAGGGUGGCUGGGGGUAGAAGGGUAAGGGGUGUGGAUGAUGGCUUCAGACAAAUUCUGGAUCAGUCCAAUGAGUCGAGGGAGGAGAGCCUGACCAGGCGGUCACCCCGUCGGCCCCCCGGACCCAGCCCCCUCCCCCUAGGGCAGAACGGUCUCCCCCUCAGCCCCACCCGCAGGAUGAAGCUCAUGGACUUCAAAUCUCCGUCUUGUAAAAUAUCUUCUUCUCCUCCAAAAAACGUAUCCUCCAACCCAAGCUCCCGAAACACCCAAUCUUCCUCCUCCUCGCCCCACACGCGUCUUCUCCGCUCUACUCCCGGGGCCGCCCAGGAAGUUCAGAGACUGCUUCCCAGGACAGAGAGCCCUCCUCGGGGCCGAAAACCUCACCCUGUCCCCCAUCCUGCCCCCACCUCCAGCUCCUCCACACAGAGGGCUGGCUCUGAGGCCCCCAUAGUGAGGGUGAAGCAGGAGGAAGAGGGGGACGAGGAUGAGAAAGAUCAUUUCCGAGCGCUGGAGAAGUACCGCCUGAUGAGCGUGCUCGGGUUACAGAGGACGUCCCUCCUCCCCAGACCAGAGGAUCUGAUUGGCUGGAGGCAGAAAAAACGCCUCCGGAAGUUGAAGGUCAAUAACUAUUCGUUGACCAAGAGGAGGAAACCUCGCCUCCAGGCAUCAGGGGGGCUUACGUUCGGGGGGCCGCCCCUGUCACUCCCCCUAUGUACCCCUGCCAAAACCCACUUCCUGAGCAGGAUCAUAAAGACGGAGCCUGAGUAUCCAAUCAGCAUGGAGAGACUGAAGAAACCCAGGCAGCCCCGGCGGUUUCCGCCCAGUGACAGGAGCAUGCGCAGUAAAGUAGUGUUACCAGACCUGCUGCAGCCCGUGUCCAGGCUGGUCUACGGAGGGAGGGAUCUCAGGCGCUCUGUCAGGGGUGUUGAGGCCAGCCACCCCCCUCCACCCCGUUCUGGGAACACAAGAGUUCCAAAUCCCAAGAGGAACGUCUCUACUGUCAGGAUCAAACCCGAACCUGCAGACUAUGCCAUCUCAGCACCAUCCAUCCCCUCAGAUGGCCAACGCCCAAACCCACACCUCUCCCCUCCCAGGGCCCACCUCAGGCACAAGGUUACCACAGAAACUGUCAGAGCGCUCCGCUACAACAGCGGGCGUCCGAUGGCCAAAGAUAAGCUGAAGCGGAGUGGCAUGAAAGAGGCUAGGAGAGCCCAGCGUAAGCCCAGAGAGGAGAGCAUGAGGACCGGGAGCAGCCAAGGAGUGAGAAGGAUCAUUGAGAGAGGGCCUGGAGGUAUGAGCAGCAGGGAGACAAGCAGCAUCCUCAGCCCUGAUCCUGUUCCUCCUCCCAUCCACAGCCACCCUCUGUACAGGGUCAUCAAGGAGGAACCAGCAGACCCUCUACCUGUGGCGGGGUCCUUCCCCGAGUCACCCUCCCUGUCCUCCUCCCCAGAGCUGGGCAAAAGGCAGAUCAAGCCCCCUGUCAAGCUCCUAGACCCAGGCUUCCUCUUCAGCUUCUGCCGCCCGGCAGGAGGGCCCAUGUUGGGGGUGAAGAGGGAGGAGGAGAGUGUGGAUAUCUGCCUAACACGGUCGGUCUCAAGGGUAGAGAGAUUUGGUUCCGGGGGGGCCCCAGCCAGGGUCCUGAGGGCCAGAGGAGGCCCCCCCACUCUCCACAGGGUGAAGAAGGAGAGGGAAGAAAGGAGUGUAAGCCAAAGUCCAAUCCAGAGGCAGGGGCCACCAAGGGCUGUCAACUCUCACCAACACAAACCCCCCCACCUGGAUAGAGCCACAGGGUCAAAGGGUGCUUGCGUUGCACGGGACAUACCAAAGAAGCCAGCUAAGCCCCUGCCUAGCCGAGGCCCUGCCCUGUUGGACUCGAUCCGCCGGGCGAGGCUAAAGCAGCUGCGGGGUCCUCGCAGUCAGGCCCCCAAGGACAAGUCAUCCCACGUCUGCCUGCAGUGCCGGGCAUCCUGUAAGGACUGUAACGCCCUCAUCAUGCACCGCAUCAGGCACAUCGAGGGCAAGCACUGGCCCUGCCCUCUGUGCAAUAAGACAUUCUUCAGGAUGAGGAAUGUGAAGAACCACAUUCGGACCCACGACCAGAGGCUGUAUAAGUGUCGCAGCUGUUUGGCUGCAUCCUGAGACUGGGGAAGGAG